UGUAGGAGCUGCCGCAGGCUGCGAUCUUUUGAUCUUGUUUUUAGAAUCAAAAAUAAAGAUCGCAGCCUGCGGCAGCUCCUACA
rnacentral:antisense_RNA from 1 species